AAUCUAAAAUACAGUGGAAGGAAUGGAUAAAUAGAAACUAGAAGAAGUUGGAACAAUAAUUGUAAGGUCAAGUCUCCAGGGACACAACUAAGGACAGGGAGCCACAGUAGAUUCUCCCCAGAUAACUCAAGGCAGUGAGCAUAUCCAACACACCUUCCUCCUCCUAUUUCCCCACAACAACAACCCUGUGAGCUGGGUUGGGAUAAGAGAGAGUGACUGACCCAAAGUCGCCUCCCAUCCUAUGGAAUAGCUCACCCUCUAGGACAAAGAUGGCCCACUCUGAGGGCUUUGGGGAAAGCUGAAAUAUUGGGUUUUCAAAGAAGAGGGGAUUGGCUUCUUCUCUAGGGCACCAGAGGGCAAGACAAGAGGCUGGAAGGAGAAUGGGGAGAAGAAAGGAGGAAGAAAGGAGUGUGAUUUGAAUAUGCACCUGGCUGAACCUGAGAGGGCACAAGCUUCCUACUUGUGGAACGAACCCAGUAAUUAGUCCACCACCAUCAUUGCUGAUCUGUUGCCCUCUUCAGACCGAGUUUAUCAUGCCAACUGCCACCUUUGAAACCACAUCAAAGCCGAGCCUCGCCUAAUGUUUGUCGUCUGUGUUUUUCAACGCCUGCAAAAGAACACUGCGUACUUCUUAUUUUUUACGUCCUCUCCUUUUUUUGCAGGGACAA